CUUAUAAUAUCACUAUUACAUUUCUUGAUUUUCUUUUGUAAUAAAAAUUGAGAAUAAAUAUAAAGAAAAAUUUAAAAUAAGAAAAGGGCUACGUUCUUCUAGCAACCUCCUUUCAUUCGUUUCUUCUACUCAGCUUUCUUAUCUCUCUCUCUGUCUCGGACCAUUCGCACAGCUCUGCCUUCUCCCGUCGACCAUUCGAUUACGGGAGUGUAUUGAGCUAAAACAAAAUGGCUCUAAUACAAUUUGGAAGAACAUGUGUUGCUCAAUGGAGUAUUCGUCCUCAAUUUGCAGUGAGAGCUUGUUAUUCAACCACACUCGAAUCAUAAAGAAACGUGUAUUUUACUUGGUUUGGGAGAAGUUUGAUUUAAGAUUAUAUAUACAGAUUAGACCUGUGAGAACAUGAGAAAGGCAGACAAACCACCUGGGAGCUAAGUUAGGAUCAGCGAUGGGAAUCUAAAGGAGAUGAAACUGUAGGAUUGAUUUCUCGGCUCAGACUCUCUAACUCUUCGUCACUGAAGAGCUGUCUGAGGAUGGUGGAAGCUCCUCCGGCCAACCAUUUGUCAUCCAGGCGGUGGCUGUAGACUCCAUACCUCGCAUCAUCGACCCUUUUGGUGCUGAGAAGUUCAAUAGCUAAGGUCGAGCCCAGUAUUAGAGUGUAUAUAGUUGGUUUAGUUAUGGUUUAGAUUGGUUAGUAUAUUUGGUUUAGUUUAGUUUGUAUUUAAGCUUGCUUUGUAUCACCAUUUACAAUUAAUGAAGAUUUUCACGAUUAUUGAAACCCA